GACCUAGUGGUGAAUGGAUCACACCUGUUCUUUCUGCAAAGUUUCUGUAGAACUAGUACAACAGGAGACCCCGGUUCGAUUCCGGGCUAGAUUA